rnacentral:rRNA from 1 species
UAGCCUAAAUGUGUUAUUUUAGGUAAAUUCUGCCCAGCGUAUAUUAUUAGCGGCCGCAGUACCUUGACUGUGCUAAGGUAGCAUAAUCAAUUGGCUUUUAAUUGAAGUCUGGAAUGAACGGAUAAAUGGAAAUUUACUGUCUUUUUAGUAAUUUUUUGAAUUUAUUUAUUAAGUGAAAAUACUUAAAAACAGAAAAAAGACGAGAAGACCCUUAGAAUUUUUAAUAAAAUAAUUAUUAUUAUUAUUUUUUUGUUGGGGCGACACUGAAACAAUUAAACUUUCUUUAUUUCAAGACAUUAAGAUUUGAAAGAAUAAAUUACCUUAGGGAUAACAGCAUAAUUAUUUAUUUAGUUUGUGACCUCGAUGUUGGACUAGGAACUAAAAGAUUAACCGUCAAAUUAGAUUGUUCUGUUCGAACAGAAAUUCCUACGUGAUCUGAGUUCAG